UUCCAUUUUAUCACAUCGGAUGUUUUUGAAUUUAAAUUACGCAGUUGAAGACAGAGGUCUAAACUCUUUAUUACAUCAAUCCUUGAAACCCUCAUACCAUGAAAAUAUUAUAUGCUUUCCAGAUGCUAUGAAAUAGUUAUGAGUUCAUCAGGAACUUACUACUUUUUUUUUAAAUGUGUUGUUAUUUGGUGAAAUUUUUCCUUUAAAAUUGUAACAGUUAAAUAUUUCUCAGAAUGCCUGUGUUCUUUUUCUCAAAAAAGAGUUUUUUCCACUAAUUUUGCAGUUAAGUGGUACAUGUAGUAAAACUUCUAUGGCAUUUAGAUGUUUAAUUUAUGAAAUCAAAAACAAUUUUUUUCUUGUAUCUUUUUGGAAAAUGACCGAUGGGUAUCACCUACAUUUCUCCAUCUGCAGAUAGAAAUCCAAUCGACUCGCUAUAAGAAGGCAGCUUAGAAUUGCCGAUUGAUUUAUGAUCGAAGUAAAAACUGCCAAGAAACAAAAUUAUAUUUCUUUCCGGGAAAAGCUACUUUUUAAGAAAAUAAAGAAGAAUGGAAGUCAAUCACGGGUAUUGCAGUGAGAGUUCCAAAUUUGUAUGAGCAAGAGAAAAAGGAUUCAGAUAUUUUCCAUGGGAAAAAAAAUCUUUACACGACAUUUUAGAAUCCAUAAUUAUUACAAAGAUAUUAAAUUUAUUUAUGCAAAUCUCAAACUAUUUGAUUACAAUUUAAGAAACGUUGAAAUAAACAUUUGACUUUAGAAUUAUUGAAGUCAAUUAUAUUUAAAUUCAGUGAUUAAGUAAUAAUCAUAAGUGAUAAGAUAAGUGAUAAGAUAAUAAGAUAAGUGAAUGAAGCGGAAUGAAAUUAAGCAAAAUGAUUUCGAAGGAAAUGAAUAGGUUCAAUUGAAUUUUAAGGAGAAUACGUCGGAAGCAGUAUCUGAAGAGUCUAGAUAACUGAGGAUAUUUAAGAGCUUAUUUAAGAACUAGUUUAUUUAAUGAAAUAGUUGUAUGACCCUUGAAAAUCAAAUCUAGAUGACUACUGAUGUGGCAGACCCUAGUUGUACAUUUAUUAAAAUGAGGAACUAUGUCUCCAGAUUAAAGAGCUUUUAAUUGAACCUGCAAUCUUUUGUAUACUGCCAUUUUGUUUUUACAAAUUUUUUAUUGUUACUUUGCAAGUCCAUUUAAUAAAUUAAAAAAGAGAA